rnacentral:rRNA from 1 species
UACGUAGGGACCGAGCGUUAUCCGGAAUCAUUGGGCGUAAAGCGCGUGUAGGCGGCUUGUUAAGUCUUGCGUGAAAUCUCGGGGCUCAACCCCGAGCGGUCGUGAGAAACUGGCAGGCUAGAGUGCGGGAGAGGAGAGUGGAAUUCCUGGUGUAGCGGUGAAAUGCGCAGAUAUCAGGAAGAACACCCGUGGCGAAGGCGGCUCUCUGGAACGCAACUGACGCUGAGACGCGAAAGCGUGGGGAGCAAACAGG